GCAGCCUAAUCUUGUGUCUGUAGGCACUGGGUGCUGACUAUUGUGGCAAGGUUCUUGACUUGGGUGAGACUCUGAUCCCUUAGACCCCUUGGUACUGGCUACUACUGUUUAGCUAAUGGGAAAAGUUUGUUUUAUUUCAAAGCAGAGCAGAUAAAUUCACAGAGGUGGACAUUACAACAUGCAGUGACUGUCUUUGGGAGAAUGACAAGGCCAGGACUAAACCUUAGAAUAAUAUUGACUGGAAUGUAAAGAUUGGUGCCCUCUGCAACCACUCUGAAGGUGCGUCCUGUCUCCACUCCCCCCUCAGCCUGCAAGGGCAGUGCUGGGCUGUGACUGACCUUGUUCCUUUCCCACAUGGCAGGAUUUCAGAGAUGCCAGCUGUCAUGGAUGCUUUUCUCCAGCCCUCCACAAGUCACACACCUCAAGCCCCACUCCUACAUGUGGCCACUGUGCUUAUCUUUCUCUAUGAACAUGCUGUUGUUUAAUGAUAUAGGGCCAAAGGAGUCAGCCAUCCAUCUUCGUUUGAUUUUUGCUGACACAGGAGCUUCCCAGGCCAGGGCAAGGUCACCCAGGGGCUGUUAGCCCUUAUUUGCAUGCUUGUGCUCCUCCUAACCACCUUCUAGAAGUUACAUCUGAAAGAUUUGGGCCAAUAUCAUGGGGCACAGCCGGGAACACCGCUUGGCUUUCUGCAUGGAUGUGUUUACUGUUCCCUAUGCACAUUUUGGGCUCCUGGAUGUCACAACAUGUUUCUGCUCUUUCUUCUGUGCUCUAAGAUAGGCUUGAGUAUGGAGGGCCCAGUUACAGAAUGCCAUGAUACCACCUCACAAUGCUUACAGUAAUUUCAGUGUCACGUUGUGAUUAUUUCAGGGCCAUUUUGAACCAUGACUGGAGAGAAUCGUGGCCCUCAGCACAUUGGGAUAGAAGCCAUGAGCAGGAGCAGCAGAGCCGGAGAAGGAGCAAGCAGGCCAGACAUAAAGGCCUGGUUCUGAAGUCAGAGUGCAGCAGAGAAGAGAUGAAGAGGCUCAAGGAGAAUGAUGUGCAGAAGCUUUCUCCCUGUGAAAUCCCGAUCUCAGCAGCACAUCUUCCACAUAAUGGCAGGGACCUGUCUGCUCAGCUCUGAGCUUUUGGUGGUGCAUAUUUUUGAAGUAUUGGAGGAGAGAUGAGUGAGGGAGGGAGGAAGAAACAGAACUUCCCCAAUUCCACAGGAGUGAUUGUGUGUUACUUAUGUUACACCUUGCAAAUUGAGUCUUCACAACAAAAGUCAGUGCCAUUUCUAAUCCUUUCUAUACUGCAUAAAAUAGCUUUAUAUAUUUCCCCAACAUAUGGUUUAUGCUUUGCAAGUAGUAAAAUUUAUAUAUCUUGGUCUCUUUCCAAAUCAUGAACAAAUAUCAUGCAAUGGAGUUGACAUUUUAGUCCAAAAAGUGUUCACAAAUCAGUGUGGCUGCUGACUGAACCUUGUGAUGUACAAUGCAACUUUUCCCCAGCACAGGCAAGUCCCAGGUCACUAUUGGACAGAGGAAAGACAGGUAUAUGGUACCUUUCUCCAUUAAUAACCCUUUGUUUUUAGCCAAGUUUUGCCCUGAAAUUAAAGGCAGAUACAAAUGAAUAAAAUGGCCCUCAUAAAAUGUCUUGAUCUUUAAACCUACUUUGUCAUAACCGUUCAGUGCCUAAGCACAUACAGCAAUAUCAGGGCAGCUCUGCCCAAAUUCUACAAAGCCAGCAUUCUCCUGGGUCAGGAGAAGCUUAUGUCUCCCUGUUGCUCCAGUGGGACAAUCUGAAUAUUGCCACCCACAGGAGGUCCUGGGGCCUUCAGCUUCAGCUCCACUCUAUGAUGGUCUUACCUGUAGAGCCUUAAGCCUGCCUGAACCUGCCAUACAGAAGCAAAGUGGGGUUUUUCAAGAGAUACAGGCUAUGGGCCCCUGCUUGAGAGGGAGGAUCCUGGCCUGGAGGCUCUACCCUAGCUCCACCCCUCUCUGGAACUGUUUCUGAUUCAUCUGGGUUCUAGAGUGCAGGAACCUCCACCUGUUGGUAGCAUCUGCUUCUGGAGCCUUGCCUCUGCUGGCCUCAGCCCCACACCAGCUCGUCCUCCAUGGUUCCUGGCAUUUUCCUGCCAUUCUCUGCAAUCUUCAUUUCUCUUCCUUCUGACAAACCAAUUUGACCACCUUCUUGUNUCCCUAAAUCCAUCAGUACUAAUGGUCUCAUGACACGUGUGAAUUUCUAUGUGCUUGGUUGCAGCCCAACCAACCCCAUCCAUAGUAGGACACAGGCUCUGUGCACCCCAACUUACCUGCAUUCCCAAUCCCUCUCAGGUGAGGCCUGGUAAGCAGGUAGGCCUGUGCCUCACUGUUACUCCACAGCUGCCCUUGAGCCAGUGGAUACCAAAUGGUCUCGGGCCCCCAUGCCAUUGAGCUCCAACAGCCACUGAGCUCAGGCUCUUGGAUAUCAGGGGGACAGCAGAGGGAUAGGUGGCCUUCAGUGCCCAUGUGACCCACUACCAUACUAUUGGCUUCCUCUUAGGCUUCUGCUGCUCCUUUAUGUGCCACAAUACAACAAACACAAGUGAACUGGGCUAGAGCGAGGCAUGUGGGCACAAUUCUCAGGCCUUUAUGAAGGCCAGGUCUUAUUCUUUUGAGUUCUUUGUGCUAAGCCAUUGUUGUGACUGCCUGAGAUAACAGGACCACUAGGAUAAGCCCUAGACUGUCCCUGGUGAGGUGCUAGGGCAUUGGACCUCCACCCUGUGGGUGUUCAUUCUGUGAACCUGUGCUCAGUUUCCAAAUAGUGUCCACAUACUAGGUGUGCAGCUCUGACAUAUGCUUUAAACAUGAGUCCUGGCUGUUCCACCAAUUGGUAGUUCUGGUGUUACCUAUAAAUAAACAUGUAAACACCAGAAAAAGCACAGAGCAGGGAAGGGAGGUAAAAUCAACUUUACACCUAAAUAUUUUU
rnacentral:lncRNA from 1 species